AACGAACGCUGGCGGCAGGCCUAACACAUGCAAGUCGAGCGAAGCCUUCGGGCUUAGCGGCGGACCGGUGAGUAACGCGUGGGAACGUGCCCUUUGGUACGGAAUAGCCCCGGGAAACUGGGAGUAAUACCGUACGUGCCCUUCGGGGGAAAGAUUUAUCGCCAAAGGAUCGGCCCGCGUUGGAUUAGGUAGUUGGUGGGGUAAUGGCCUACCAAGCCGACGAUCCAUAGCUGGUUUGAGAGGAUGAUCAGCCACACUGGGACUGAGACACGGCCCAGACUCCUACGGGAGGCAGCAGUGGGGAAUCUUAGACAAUGGGGGAAACCCUGAUCUAGCCAUGCCGCGUGAUCGAUGAAGGCCUUAGGGUUGUAAAGAUCUUUCGGCGGGGAAGAUAAUGACGGUACCCGCAGAAGAAGCCCCGGCUAACUUCGUGCCAGCCGCCGCCGUAAGAC
rnacentral:rRNA from 1 species